CCUACGGGAGGCAGCAGUGGGGAAUAUUGCACAAUGGGGGAAACCCUGAUGCAGCGACGCCGCGUGAAGGAAGAAGUAUUUCGGUAUUUAAACUUCUAUCAGCAUGGAAGAAAAUUACUGUACCUGACUGAUAAUCCCCGUCUAACUACGUUCCAGCAGCCGCGGUAAUACGUAGGGGGCAAGCGUUAUCCGGAUUUUCUGGGUGUAAAGGGAGCGUAGGCGGUUUAGCAAGUCAGAAGUGAAAGCCCGGGGCUCAACUCCGGGAUUGCAUUUGAAACUGUCGAACUAGAGUGCAGGAGAGGUGAGUGGAAUUCGUAGUGUAGCGGUGAAAUGCGUAGAUAUUAGGAGGAACACCAGUGGCGAAGGCGGCUCACUGGACUGUAAAUGACGCUGAGGCUCGAAAGCGUGGGGAGCAAACAGGAUUAGAUACCCGUGUAGUC
rnacentral:rRNA from 1 species